GCGGGCGCCCCUCCCCCAGCCUCGCUGCCUCCUUGCAGUUUGAUCUCAGACUGCCCUGCUAGCAAUCAGCGAGACUCCGUGGGUGUAGGACCCUCCAAGCCAGGUGCCGGAGAUAAUCUCGUGGUGCGCCGUUUUUUAAGCCCGUUGGAGAAGCGCAGUAUUCGGGUGGGAGUGACCCGAUUUUCCAGGUGCUGUCUGUCACCCCUUUCUUUGACUUGGAAAGGGAACUCCCUGACCCCUUGCGCUUCCCAAGUGAGGCAAUGCCUCGCCCUGCUUCGGCUCGCGCACAGUGCGCGCACCCACUGACCUGAGCCCACUCUCUGGCACUCCCUAGUGAGAUGAACCUGGUACCUCAGAUGGAAAUGCAGAAAUCACCUGUCUUCUGCCUCGCUCACACUGGGAGCUGUAGACCGGAGCUGUUCCUGUUCGGCCAUCUUGGCUCCUCCCGGAAGGUGAAACAGAAAAGUGGCUUAGUCAGUGCUCUUCCUUCAGGUCCUCAGCUUGUAUCAUCCAUGAAGACGUGGCCAGUGUUCCACUACUGGAAGCCCUUUCUCAGCCCUGGAUGACUGAAAAUCCCUCCCAAGCCAAAGGAGCCCCGACUGUAGCAGAUCAAAAGAGAGAAGAGAGAACAUAGUACCAAGAAGACAUACACCUCAUGGUGGACGGUAUGUUCAGCCUCCCAGACUGCACUUCAGUACAGAAAGACUUCCUCCAAAUACUGUCAACCUCUCUUGGCUGAAGACAGCUGCCUUGACGAGGGUUUUGCUUCUUCCCAGUGCCAGCCUGCAUCCAACGAGUAGUUGAUGGGGACAGGGUAUAUCGCCCCUGCUCAAAAGGGCCAUUCAAUGUCAGAGUUCCCCAAAGUUGAUUACAAACUGAACUUCUCCUCUAGCUAAUCUGGUUUUCUUCCAUUUCUGUACAGGUAUUGAUCCCAAGUAGUUCUAAUGCCUUCCUGCACCUGCUCCCUUUCCCAGAGACUGCUUUCUAGGUAAUCCAGUUUACAAUAGAUUUCUUCAUUCUUUUCACUGGUGAUCUUAAAAUCUUGAUAUAGGAAACAGCUUCAUCCCACUGGUCCCAUUGUGUUCAUGACUGUUUCACCAGAGGAAGGGUGCUAGGCUAGGUAGGUAAUACUCACAAUGUAGACUGUUGAAAAAAAUGAAAUGGUAGUGAAAAAACAGAGACACAAAAGGCUUUAAAAUCAUGUAGACAAAGGGUACUUCCUACUGGUGCUAUGUGGUCUUGAGCAAAGUACUAAGCCUCUCUGGGCCUAUCUUACAUACUUCAUAAGGUUGUUGUGAUAAUUAUACAAGAUCAUGCAAAAUGAGAGCCUAGGGCAGUAAAAGGCAAAAUUAUUGGUAAUUUCUACUAGUAACCAUUGUUUGUGUGAUUCAUCUUUUACAUUAAAUGUAGCCAGAAUAAGACGAUGUACUUAAAGUGUGUACUAUUUUUCUAAUUAUCUGCUGGAAUGUGAUGUCAGUUUAAUGAGUUUUAAUUAAACUGCAGUGGAAUUACAGGAGGGUCAGAGAAUUGAAUUCUAA
rnacentral:lncRNA from 10 species